rnacentral:rRNA from 1 species
UACACACCGCCCGUCACAUCACGGAAGUUGGUUUUACCCGAAGUCGCUGACUCAACCCGCAAGGGGGAGAGGCGCCUAAGGUGAGGCCGAUGACUGGGAUG